UGUAAAUAGGAGUUAAGAACCCCUGCUGAACCUGAGGCAUGGUUAACAUUACGGUAACUCAAUAUGACAUUAAGCAAUCUCAUGGAUUAAGGCUGAGAUUAUUCUUGACUAGUUACAGAGAUGAACAAAACUCCUGAAUAGUAAUGAUAGAACAAAAGUUCGUCAAAAUGUGAAGUUCCAGGUCACCUGCAAUUCUGUGACAAAGCUGCAUGUCCUUAAGUGCAAAAAAUUCUUCCAAUGUUAUAAUUACAGUAAGGUAAAUGUUUAUUUCUUUCAUUUCAUAGUUAUCUACUUAAUGUCAUGUUCCCUCU